GCCUCAGUGGCCAAGUGGUAAGGUGUCGGUCUCGUAAACCGAAGAUUAUGGGUACAACCCCCAUCUAAGGCU
rnacentral:tRNA from 1 species